rnacentral:rRNA from 1 species
GCCUUACACAUGCAAGUCGAACGGCAGCACGGGUGCUUGCACCUGGUGGCGAGUGGCGAACGGGUGAGUAAUACAUCGGAACAUGUCCUGUAGUGGGGGAUAGCCCGGCGAAAGCCGGAUUAAUACCGCAUACGAUCUACGGAUGAAAGCGGGGGACCUUCGGGCCUCGCGCUAUAGGGUUGGCCGAUGGCUGAUUAGCUAGUUGGUGGGGUAAAGGCCUACCAAGGCGACGAUCAGUAGCUGGUCUGAGAGGACGACCAGCCACACUGGGACUGAGACACGGCCCAGACUCCUACGGGAGGCAGCAGUGGGGAAUUUUGGACAAUGGGCGAAAGCCUGAUCCAGCAAUGCCGCGUGUGUGAAGAAGGCCUUCGGGUUGUAAAGCACUUUUGUCCGGAAAGAAAUCCUUGGCUCUAAUACAGUCGGGGGAUGACGGUACCGGAAGAAUAAGCACCGGCUAACUACGUGCCAGCAGCCGCGGUAAUACGUAGGGUGCGAGCGUUAAUCGGAAUUACUGGGCGUAAAGCGUGCGCAGGCGGUUUGCUAAGACCGAUGUGAAAUCCCCGGGCUCAACCUGGGAACUGCAUUGGUGACUGGCAGGCUAGAGUAUGGCAGAGGGGGGUAGAAUUCCACGUGUAGCAGUGAAAUGCGUAGAGAUGUGGAGGAAUACCGAUGGCGAAGGCAGCCCCCUGGGCCGAUACUGACGCUCAUGCACGAAAGCGUGGGGAG